rnacentral:SRP_RNA from 12 species
AAUGAGGUCCCUGAAAAUUCCGAGGGAGGAAAAGCAGCACGUCAAAGACGCUUUCGCUCAUUUCGAUCUUGAUAGCAACGG